rnacentral:rRNA from 1 species
UUAAGCAAUGAGAGCACAUUGAAUGCAGCAGUUGUCAAUGGAUCACUGAAGUUAAACGACGUUGCACGUGGUACCUACCGGGAUGGGUGACCAUCUGAACAACUACCUACUGCUUCUA